GAUGAAGAACGUAGCGAAAUGCGAUAAGUAGUGUGAAUUGCAGAAUUCAGUGAAUCAUCGAAUCUUUGAACGCACAUUGCGCCCUUUGGUAUUCCUUAGGGCAUGCCUGUUCGAGCGUCAUUUAAACCUUCAAGCUAAGCUUGGUGUUGGGUGACUGUCCGCUUCACGGCGGACUCGCCUCAAAAUUAUUGGCGGCCGGUACAUUGGCUUCGAGCGCAGCAGAAACGCGAACUCGGGCCCGUCGUAUUGGCUCCCAGAAGCUAUCUUCACAAUUUUGACCUCGGAUCAGGUAGGGAUACCCGCUGAACUUAAGCAUAUCAAUAAGCGGAGA
rnacentral:misc_RNA from 1 species